GAUGAACGCUGGCGGCGUGCCUAAUACAUGCAAGUCGAGCGAACAGACGAGGAGCUUGCUCCUCUGACGUUAGCGGCGGACGGGUGAGUAACACGUGGAUAACCUACCUAUAAGACUGAGAUAACUUCGGGAAACCGUAGCUAAUACCGGAUAAUAUAUUGAACCGUAUGGUUCAAUAGUGAAAGACGGUUUUGCUGUCACCUAUAGAUGGAUCCGCGCCGCAUUAGCUAGUUGGUAAGGUAACGGCUUACCAAGGCAACGAUGCGUAGCCGACCUGAGAGAGUGAUCGGCCACACUGGAACUGAGACACGGUCCAGACUCCUACGGGAGGCAGCAGUAGGGAAUCUUCCGCAAUGGGCGAAAGCCUGACGGAGCAACGCCGCGUGAGUGAUGAAGGUCUUCGGAUCGUAAAACUCUGUUAUUAGGGAAGAACAAAUGUGUAAGUAACUAUGCACGUCUUGACGGUACCUAAUCAGAAAGCCACGGCUAACUACGUG
rnacentral:rRNA from 1 species